AUGACAGAACCCAUACAAGAGUUGAAUCCUUGUCGCUGGAAGGUAAGAUAGGAAAGGCAUGGGUGAAAUAAACAUGACAGAACCCAUACACGAGUUGAAUCCUUGUCGCUGGAAGGUACGAUAGGGAAGGCAAGGGUGAAAUAAACAUGACAGAACCCAUACACGAGUUGAAUCCUUGUCGCCGGAAGGUAAGAUAGGAAAUGCAUGGGUGACGUAGAACAUGAUUGAAAAAAGUCGGCUAUUAUAUUUUGAACAAUUUGAAAUAUCUUGAACUUUAAUAAUAAAAUUGAGAAUGGAAAUGGGGCCGGAAUAUGUCAAAGAGACAACAACCCGACCAAAGAGACCCGAUUACAGAUUCUUUACUAUUAAUAUAAACUAAAUUGAAUGAACAUAGUCGUUGAUUUCAGUGUCAUUUGGUCUCUUGUGGAGAGUUGUCUUAUUUGCAAUCAUACCACAUCUUCUUAUUUCUAUAUAGACCCAAAACCUUUAUUCAGUGCUUUAGUGUUUAUAACAUCAUUUAUUUCGAUUUAUGAUAGCGAUUCCGAUUUUAAUUUCAAGUGCUUCUGACGUAUUCCUUAACAUGUUUGAUCAUGUUUGCUCAAUACCGAAUGUUUUGAAGAGCAAAUCAUUCAUUACUUUUGUUCCGUAUCCCGUGUCCGUUUCACCGUGUCACAUUUCAUUUUACACACAAACGUCAUGUGAUUACGUCAGCAAUCAAUGCAGUGUUUGAUCAAUUCAACAUCGUCUGCUUGAAAACAUCAACAGAUGGGUUAUGUCACCUUUCGGUAGGUUUUCAUCAGAGUGAGGGGUCAAACUAGAACAGCCUGGUCGACUUUUUUUUAGGUGUAAAUAACAUUGCUUAAUUCGCUUGUGUAAAGAAAAAUGUCACGUGGUACCACUUUUUCAAUCUCCACAUUGAAACAAUAACUAUCCCAACCAUCAUAUGUCAAAUUUGAUAAAGUUAACAUCAUAUUCCAGUUGUUACGAUUAAAUUAUACGUACUAUUUUGAUUACGCGCCAUUUUGGGAGUCUAGUGUAGAAAAUAUGCGCGUCCAGCUUACUAAAAUUAUAAGCCUUUUAAGUAUCAACCUGCUUUACCGAAAAUUAGAUUAUAUUAAAAUAAAAGAUGUAUAAAAAUAAAAUAUAGUGAGGUAAUAUAACAAAUGGAAAAUAAAUAAUUGCCCAUGAAAUGUUUACAUGUAAACGUUCAUGAGAUAUCAACCAUGAUCCGUAUGAGAAUUUACUACGACAUAUUUCGUUUUAAAAUUUA